rnacentral:rRNA from 1 species
UACGUAGGUCCCGAGCGUUGUCCGGAUUUAUUGGGCGUAAAGCGUGCGUAGGCUGUUUCGUAAGUCGUGUGUGAAAGGCGCGGGCUCAACCCGCGGACGGCACAUGAUACUGCGAGACUAGAGUAAUGGAGGGGGAACCGGAAUUCUCGGUGUAGCAGUGAAAUGCAUAGAUAUCACGCAGAACUCCGAUUGCGAAGGCAGCAUACCGGCGCCAGACUGACGCUGAGGCACGAAAGCGUGGGGAUCGAACAGG